GGAGCUUUCUUUUCUCCCUCAACCGAUCGACCAGCCCCCACACUCCCCUUUUUAUUUUUCUUCUUCUCCUUCAACCAGCCACAACCGAUUUUCCCCUUCCUCACCGAACCCGAAACCAGCCGUCCACCUUCCUUCUCCCAGCACCGAACCAGCUCUCCAAGGCAGCCUUCACCCGAUUUUUCCUCUCAUCUUCAAAUCCCAGCGGCCUCUUCCCCCUUCGUUCUCCAACCACCGCGAGACAAGCCCUCCUCUCUCAGCCGACCCACCGGUCUCCACCAACAGCAGCAACCCACAAGCCAGCAGACCCAGCUCACCGCCUCCAGCAGAGACGUCGGUGGCUCCAGCUCUGACCGACCCCUCGCCACCACCGGAAGCAGAGAAGAAGGCGAAACCGAGAAGAAGCAGAGGCGCAACGGAGAAGAAGAGACUGAGAGGCAGAUCCGAAAACAAGAAAAAAAAAACUUAAAAUCAACUGCCUUGUGUGUAUCUUUGGGUCUUUGCAGGUGACGGUGACCCCACCGCCGGCGUGGGAAGAAGAGAGGAAGACGUGACCGAGACCCCCCUGUUUUCCGGUCGUUUUCACGGCGGCGCGUGAACCCACGCGCCGCCAGUGGGGGUGGCGCGUGGAGGAGACGCGCCGCCAGUGUUUUUGUGGUCUAGAAGCCUUCCCAGCAGCUUCCUAGAUUUUUUAGGGGCUGUUAUGUAAUUUUUUUAUUUGUGUAAUGUCUUUUCUGUAAUUUUGCCUUACCCGCGAUCUCUGACAAGACCAGUACAUCAGGUUUCCUAGUAGCCCUCAAUGAAUUACUAGGUGGCGACUCCAACGAACCAAUUCAAAGCAAACGCAAAAACGAUAAAAAUCGCCAGCCGAUGCCGCGCAGGCCAUUAGGAUUUUUUUUUUGGGGUGCGACAUAAUGGCGACUCCACUGGGGAGAGGUAUUGUUUUCAACUUUAUCGGACUAAGCUUUGUGUUUUGAUGUGUUCAAUUUUUAUUUUUUUUUGUGCUUUGUUUUAUUUAUUUGUGUUUUAUUCAUGCAUUAUAUAUAAUUCUCUCAUUCAUCACAAGUUUAAAUUUUUGAAAGCACACACAAGCUUCAGGUUAGGAGGGGGACUAGCAGCUUACCUUACGACUUGAGUCAAGGUUUAAGUUUGUGUAAACCCCAACUCUUUGUUGAGUGCUUAGACUGGUAAUAGUUGGACACGUGCCAACCAAUUACCUACUGGGCCCCUAUAUUGCCUUUACGAGGGAUCACUGGGACAACAAGAGACCCUUUUAGAGACCAAGUAGCAAACCUACCCUGUCUCACGUAAAAGAUAGAGCCUGCUUUAGGAUGUAUGUGCUAUUGUUUUGCAUUCGAGCAAACCCUUCUUGAAGCAUCUUGAACUCAAGACUUGUGGGUGACACAUUGGCCGUCACUCCGAAAAUUUUCAUUGUAGAGUUUGGGCAAAAAUCACGAUUCUUGUUCCAUCAUACAAGAGUUACGACCAUAUUGUCACCCUCGAAGGGUGAGUUCGUCAUAUAGAUUACAUGCAUGUACCGGGUUGAAAAGUAGGUUCCCCCGCACAAGCUGUGCUGCACGUGAUUGAAGAAGAAUGAUGGAGUGAAGAAAGGUGUAGAGGCUCAUUAUCAGAUUAGUUGAGAGCAUCAAAGGUGAAGUAGCUGACUCAGAUCUGCUCGAACAAGUGUUGAGCAUCAAAUGGAAAGAGAAUGUCUGCACAGUCUUCUGUGGGAACACUGCUUGUUCACGUCCAAUUGAAGUGUAUCUCUCCUUUUCAGUCAUGAACAACAACAACAAUGCCUUCAGUCAUCAACUAAUGACAACUCUGAUUCUUGUCCAGUUGCACUGUUAAGUGUUCAUCGCCUCCACAUCAUCUAAUGGAACCAAACACUACUAGCUCCUGUACAUGGUGCAUUAGUCUGCUUUGAAGUUACCCCAUUAUGAGCUCAAUUCCAGUUCAGCAGCACAAGAUGGUCUGAAAAACCAUGAUUAACACUGAACUUCAAUGUGGCAGAGCUCUCUCUACAAAAAUCCAUUUAUGGCUCAAAUUGAGAAUGCAAGAGGGGAUUUAUAAUUGCAUAUGCUACAAAUAUUUCUCUCAUCAGUUUCAGCACGAAGAACUUUAGCAGGUUGAAGAGCCAGACCUGGUUGAAAAAAUGAGCAGACAUCAAACUUCAACGUAGCAGAGCUCUCUCCAGGAAUCUGUUUGUGGAUCCGCAAGUGGGAAAUCCAAGAAGGAAUACAGUAGUUUCAGAUCAUCUAUGAUUUUCCUCCAACAGUGUCAGUAUUAAAACGCAAAAGUAGAGAGAAAGACAUGCCUAGACUGAAAAACAUGAAGAAGACUGAAACUUCCACAGAGCAGAACUCCCUCUAUUGGUGCUUGUUUGCUGCACCGUUCGAGAGGAAUCGAAGAAGAAUAGAGGAGAUUCAUGUUCAUCGUUUCUCCCAUAGAAGAGAUAAGGCAUGAUUCCACGUGUCGGUAGUGGCGAUACUACAAGUUUCUGGGCGCUGCCAAGAUUACCAAGCCGUUGGAAAGUUUUCUAACAAUCCUCAACCAACCAUAACAACAUUGGAAGAUUGAAAUGAUGUUGUGAGGAUUUGCCGAAGAAUUGAACAAGCUAUGAAGAGAGGAAAGAUUGAAGGAUCUGCCAUGGAUUCCAGAACAAUGAUGAGAGGUGAAUCAGAAGAUGACUCUCGAUUGAGAAACCUCAGCAUCUGCCAGAUUCCAGAAUUUUUGCUUGACUCCGACAAAUCCCAUGCAACCACCAAUUUCUAGGUGGUAUAAUCCAGAUAAGAGAUGUGAUGUCAUGGUGGGGUCCUCAACCAUUUCAAGUGAACAGUUUCAAGAAUUGAGUCUGAAAGUUGGUGAGCAAGAGAUAAGUGGAGUCGGUGAAGGAGGGUGUCAUUGGCUAUAUUGUCCCCCGAACAUCUUCAGAAUGACAUGUUGAUCGAAAGUGCUUGGCAAAACGCAAAUAUUGCCAGAAAAGCUGAUUCAAGAAUGGUGAUGAACAGUCAAUCAUAUUGUUUUGGAAUUCUGCAUUUUGUUUUGGGAUCACAUCUCAUCCUUCAACGAAACAUGCCUUGCUUUUGUCUUUUGUUGUUUUGAAAUCAACAGAUGUUUAACAUUUUCUCUGAUAAAAUAUUUUGAUCAAACUCCAACAUGCGAUAAAGGUUAAUCAAUCCUGAAGAUUAAAAGUGUUUUGAUUACAGAAAUGACUCGAUUCUUGUUGAAAUGACAUGAGGUGACCAAACUAAUUUUUGAGCUCACGCACAAGUUUGAACCACACAUUAUAUAGCUGAGUUUUAGCAGUAUGCAUAAUGACAUGUAGUGGAUUCGGUAGUUAUGGACUCGUGAAUCAUGAUUCUUACAAGUCCAAAUCAUUACACUAGAUGAGGUCAAAAUUUAUCGGUUCUAACCGACCUUGCUUGAAACGAGAAAAUGCCAUCUUUGAUAUCCUUCACUUUCUAAAAAUUAUAUCCCUUGUAGUCCCAUUUUGAGCUGGUGAAUAUUUUCUUUCAAAAAAACCCUGACUAGGAUCACACCCCACACUGGGGGCAAAUGAGAAAUAUUUUGGAGACACGAUAAAAUCAAUGGAUCAAAGAAAAGCUUAGAACAAAAGUCCAAUGUUUGAGAAAGGGCUAGAAGAAGAAAAUCCAUAGAUUGAGGGCCAUCCAAGAAAAACUUUGAGGAAGGCUAUGCAAAAAAAAAGAAAUGAAAGGAAAGAAAAUGCCUAUCAAUUCUAAGAGAGGCAAGACAGUUUUCAAUUGAGAAAAGACAAAAUGCCAAAAGUCAACACUAGAAAAAUCGAUGCUUCAUAUCUUUUGGUGUGUCUGGAUAGAGCCUCUAAUGUCUUCAAAAUUUAGAUUAGUUAUUCAUCAAAGAAAAAGUUGGAUUUGCAUUAUGACCUAUGUUAAGAGAAUUCUGAUAUUUGAGAUUAACAAGGUUAUAUGUCACUUUCUCUACAAUGACAACAAGAGAAAGAGAAUCGAUGAAUAGUUAAUGUUGGUCCUAGGUCGUUGAAACCCUCAAACACCUUUUGAGCCUAUGAAAUUCCUUUCUUUCAUAGCCAUGAACCAUAGCCUGCAUUACGUGCUUUUAAAAGCCCUUUUUAAUCAAGCAAGCAAUCUGAACCAUAAAUGGCGCUCUCAAAACUUGAAGAGUUUUUCCAUAAGGUCGUGACUUCAUGAAUUAAGCUACUGGUUAUUAUGCAUGCUGAUAAAAUAAAUGCUAAGAAAAGAAACAACCUUUCUUGAUAAAGCCUGAGCAUCUUGUUUUGAAAUUCAUAAAAAUAUCACCUCAUCACAGACCAUCAAAAGAUAUACCCAAAAUCAGAGUUUAAAGUGGACACAAAGAACCAUGAAAAAGUCAUUUUAAAUCUUACAACGGGUCAUUUCUGUUUUCAAAAUACAAGACAAUCAAAGGACUGCAUUGAAUAGUGUGUUGGGUCUUUGACCAAAGAAGUUUGAAUUUCAAAAAAAAAUAAUUUUCAAAAACUGACAUCUCUCUGAUUUCAUUUCAACAAUUAGACUUGAAUAGACAUGAUCGUUGAAGUUGAGAUUUGAUUCCAGAACAAGAAAGAUUUUCAAACAAGAACAUCAAUUGAGUUUGCAAAAUUUUGACAAAAAUGACAUCAACAUUUCUCACACUCCUUGAAACGUUGACCACCUGGGGGCAAUACAGUGGACCUUAAGAAGGAAAACAAACAAUUCCAGAUCAGCUGGGGGCAAAGAAAGAAUCAGAUGAUGAGUCGUCAAAGUUCAUCAAAGUUAUGUUUAGCAUCUGACAAUGACAAAGAAAACCUUGAGUAUAAACCGAUGAACGAACCUUCAGAUCAUAUGGGGCAAUGUUGUUCAAAGACAAUCCAUGAUCUAGUGCACUUCAGCAGCAAUUGAUGAGCAACGCUGCACUUGAAGGAUAUUUUCAUAUCUUCAUCUUGGUUACUGUAAAACAUGGCUAUGACUCCUGACAGAUGUUAUCGGGUGAGUGCAUUUGAAUGAACAUCGAACAUAUGCAUACCACUAAGAUUGACUAUGGGACCAUCUAUUCUGAAGCUCAAAUGCGCACUUCACCGCAUGAAUAUGGGUGAUAACAUGAACAUCAUUGAUGAUGCCAAAGCAGUUAUUUUCACGAUCUGAUUUGACAAGCUAAGAGGAAUCCAUAGAGAAAUACAUCGCGCUUACAAUGAUGAGUGUUUACUGCAAAGCAUGAGAUCCAUGUCUGGAUGACUUGGCAGUUCCAUGAAGGCUGGUGACCAUACAUACUUGAAUGGUGUUUCAACCGAAGGCAAGUUCAUGACUGAUUAACAAUCUUGAUGGGUGUUGGCAUGAUGCACACAAUCAAUCAGAGGAUAAUUCUCAGAAGAAGCCAGAGAGAAAAUCCUUCAUGAUGAAUCAAGCAAUACCACACUUGGGGGCAGGGUCAAGCUUGAUGAACGAUGCAAGCAGUAAUUGUCGAAGACAGCCCGGGAUGGGCACUGCAUUUACAGCUGAGUGGAUGGCUAACACAUGAAUGAGCCAAUGCAUCGGAAGAACAAAGAAAGCUUUGGGAUACAAACAAGGGCACCCUAUGACGAUGGAGCAUCAAAGAGGGGGGCCUAUAUUUCAAAUCAGGUAAGGAUGCAUGCAUAUCAUCUAAAAAAAAAAAAAAAAACCAUGUGCACAUAUUUUUAAAUUUGUUACAGGAAAAUCCCCAGUGAGGUCCAGCAAGAUGGUGGAAAGAGAAAGAAGCAUUGUGGUGAUGAUAAAUAAAGAAUCGGUUUUGAUCAUGGAAUAAAAGGACGAUGGGAUGAACCCUACCAUUAGGAAAAUCCCAAAGAAAUGAAAGAUCAACCUUGCAAUCGGGAAGCCUCGAGUUUUCAACCCUUGCAGUCAGGAAACACCGAGUUUUCAAACCCUAUGAUCGGGAAUUAUCAGGAAGCACCAAGUUUUCCAGCCCUUCUUCUGUCAUCCCCUCAGGACUUCGCCAGGUAAGUCCUAUUUUUCACACUUGUCAUAUCACAUUUUUUCCAUCUGGGUAGGUCGCCCAUCAAUAGACCGUUUUUCAUAUUUUUUCCAUCUGGGUAGGUCACCCAUCAAUGAGACUUCACAUUUUUUCCAUGGGUAGGUCACCCAUUACAAUGAGACCGCACUUCACAUUUUUUCCAUUUGGGUAGGUCCCAUCACAAUGAGACCACUUCAUAUUUUUCCACUGGGUAGGUCACCCAUUACAAUGAGACCCACUUCAUUUUUUCCAUUGGGUAGGUCACCCAUACAAUGAGACCAUCAUUUUUCUGGGUUCGUCACCCAUACAAUGAGACCAUCAUUUUUUGGGUUCGUCACCCAUACAAUGAGACCAUCAUUUUUCUGGGUUCGUCACCCAUACAAUGAGACCAUCAUUUUCUGGGGUUCGUCACCCAUACAAUGAGACCAUCAUUUUUCUGGGUUCGUCACCCAUCAAUGAGACCAUCAUUUUCUGGGUUCGUCACCCAUACAAUGAGACCAUCAUUUUUCUGGGGUUCGUCACCCAUACAAUGAGACCAUCAUUUUUUUCUUGGGUUUGUCACCCAUACAAUGAGACCAUUUUUCACACAUUCUUUUGUUUUGGUUAAAUGAGGUCGCUAGAUGGGAUCUCGGGUAGCUUUGGUUAAAGGGAAUUGCCAGAUGGGAUUUCAGGUUAACCGAGUUACGCAUAUUUCAUUCCAAUUGAAUGAGGUCACUAGAUGGGAUCUCAUGUAGCUUUGGUUAAAGGGAAUCGCCAGAUGGGAUUUCAGGUUAACCGAGUUACAUAAUUUUUUCGUUCCAGUUGAAUGAGGUCGCCAGAUGGGAUCUCAGGUAAACCCAAUGUGUGGGCAGGUCAGCCGUGAAAAUAGACUAUUGGGAGAGUGUGGGUCGGUCGCCCGUGAAAAUAGACCAGAGUGAGUAUGUGUGGGCAGGUCGUCCAAGAUAAUAAAAUCAUUUUCCUUUUGUUUUCUUUACAAAGCUUACUAUGCAAAAUUUUGAGGAGUUUUGCUUCGUAAGCAUUGUAAAGAGGGGGCAUCUGUUGCUACCCAAUUUUUGACCCAUGUUUUGAUAUAUUUUCAAAAAUCCAAAAAAUUGAGAAAAACAAAGAAAAUCCAAAAAAAUAUGUUUUUUUAUAUAUUUUCGUCAUUUUAGCAUUUUCAACGUCGUCUAAAAAAGAAUUUAAAUUGUUAAAAUAUUUUCAAACGCGUUCGACUUUUCACGCGUCAUUUUUAAAAUCAUUGAUUUUCCGCAUUUGAGUCGACGUUGAUAUUGCUCGUUUUCAAAAAAUACAAAAAAAUAAGAAAAAUCAAAAUUUACAAAAAGAAAGAAGUUGAGGGACCAAGUUGAAAAACUUGGCAACAUUUUUUCCUAUAAAUACUGGUCUUUAACUCACACAAAAGAGGGGGGCAAUUUUGAUACAUGGGGGCAAUUUUGACAAUAUCAGAAAAAAUACAAAAAAGAAACCCUAAACCUAAACCUCUUUUUUUUCAAAGAAAACAAAAACCAAGCCACCGGCCACCCCCCCAUUUUGAUUUUUCUUCUCCCAGCCGGCCAAACACUGAGCCCCCGCCACUGCACCCUCUCUCUCCUUCUCAAGAACAGCCGCUGCCCCCCCACUCGAAUUUUUUCCUCCCCCACAGAAACACAGCCGGCGGACGCCCCCACCAUUUCUGAUUUUUUUUAUCUUCUUCUUCUAUUUCCCUCAACCGGCUCACCCCCCAAAUCUAUCCACCGGAGCCCUCAUCGGGAGCUUUCUUUUCUCCCUCAACCGAUCGACCAGCCCCCACACUCCCCUUUUUAUUUUUCUUCUUCUCCUUCAACCAGCCACAACCGAUUUUCCCCUUCCUCACCGAACCCGAAACCAGCCGUCCACCUUCCUUCUCCCAGCACCGAACCAGCUCUCCAAGGCAGCCUUCACCCGAUUUUUCCUCUCAUCUUCAAAUCCCAGC
rnacentral:lncRNA from 1 species